GAAUGCACCGCGGCCGCAGCUUGCUUAUGGACAGCGCUAACAGAGAUCACAGUGGGACCACAGAAGGAACCCAGGCCCUCAUCAACUGGCGUAUUCCCAAUGAGGGCCUAUUUACAGGCAGGAGGAACUCCUCCAAAACCGAAUGGCAGUGGAACAAUUCGCACGUCACCCAUCAAUGGCACCGACUGCUCCUUUGAGCGCCUCGAUCCCGGCAAGGCGGGCAAAACCAGCACCCACUCCCUCCAAAUCUUGUCUUUUUGGGAAGAAAUUUUUUUUUUAAUGAUCCCCAUCAAGGAGUUCAUGACUCUGUGCACCACCUGGCACACAAGGGCAUCACAAAGAUGUCGGCUGUUUCCCUAUAGGAUGCACCGCCGCCAGCCAGAAGAGGGUCACCAGCACUCUCCUUAUCCUCACAUGUUUUGUUGGUGUUUCUU